GGAAGCCAGAGUCAAGGAAGCCGAACACCUGUGUCAGUGUUGUGGAGGAGGCUGCCACGUAGUGUUGAUGGCAGGGUUAGUCAUCAGAGUUAGGACAUGUCUUACCACAUAGAUGGACAAGCUGAAAGUUCUUCGUCCUGUAAUUACCUAAAUGAGAACAGUAGCAGCUUCUUUGAUCAGCUGUCCCCAGCACCACCAGAUGCUAGCCCAGUGCCCAGCAGCCAGCAGUCAGACAUGGCAGCACCAAUAAAUGAUGUAGCCAGUCCACAAGCUGCACCUGCCAGUCUUGCUGUAGGUCACCUGUCUCCUUAUUCUCCGCAGGCCAACCCACUAGUCUCUCAACAAGCUGCUGUGUCAACACCUGGGAAUAUUGCUGCCAGCCAGCAAGAAACACCGGUAAAAUCCCUUAAUUCAACAACGUAUCAAGAAUCAGCAGCUGUAACUCCAAGCCUUCAUUUAGCCUCCCAACAGGAGACUCCACUUGCACCCCAGGCUUAUCCUUCUAGUCAACAGACAAGCCAUUUUGCAUCUCACAGUGUAUUAGCCACACCUUAUAACAUUCCAUUAACUCCUCAAUAUAAGCCAUCUACUGAAGGAUCAUCCUUUGUUCCGAGGACUCAGACUCCAGAACCCCCCAAAAAUAUUUUAUUUGACCAACUUCCAGUGCCAACACAGUUGACUCCAAUUCAAUCUGCAAUGAUGAUGAGCAUGACCACUUCAAUGUUGGUUACAAACACUUCCCCAAAUGCUAGUAUGGAUGUAGAAGCAACAACAGUAAAGUUUCAGCAGGCGAGCCUUGACAGUGAUGCAGAUUCCAACAUCUCACCACAGACAAGUUUAACAAAUUCAGGUAAUACUUCCAUGGAUAGCAUAUCAAUUUCAAAUCCUGUAUCAACCACCCUCUCUGCAUCACUAGCACCAAGCCAUCCAAAAAGUCCUGCUCCUAACCCCAAGCCUCCUGCAAAUAUAAACCCAGCACAAGAGACUUUAACAGACAAGUCGAAACAAAAUGAAUCCAAGUUAUUUAAAUACUUCACCACUACUAAAACUUCAAAUCCAUUUGAAAGUAUUGGUGGUCAGACUCCAGGAGGUAACAGUGACUCAGCAAUGAUCAAUCCUGCUUAUAUGUCACCAACAGAUAGCUUCAACAUCAGCAAUGCCAUUCCAUCUCCUGAUUCCUUUUUGACCCCAGCAACGGAACAGGAUGUCUUUACUGCAAGUCUGCUAUCAAGUGAUGCUGACAGAAGACAUGAUGCUUGGAUCCCCGCAGAAACCACUAGACAAGCCUUGGUAGCUAUGUCAACAAGCCCCCCAGGAACCUACUUCCCUGAAAAGGAGCUACUCACCAUGCCAGGAAUUGCUGUAAAAGAAGACUUUGGGGACCCAGUGAAAAACUUGGUGAGAACAUAUCUUGGUGAAGAAUUUGCAUCAAAGCGAGUGGUCUUAACUGCAGCUUCUGUGACUCAAGAUGAUCGUGGUCUUCGGCAAUUGAUUGCUUCAGGCUGUUACCAUGCAGCAGUUAAUCUAACCACACAACUUCUAACAGUGUAUGGCCAGGGAGAAGGGAGAGCUGGUCAUCCAAGUAAACAUACUGCACACUCUAUUCAACUAUGGUUUACAAGAAUUGCUUUGCUCAUCAAACUUCGACGAUUCUCACUAGCAGAGGUAGAAUGUCAGUACUUUGGGGAUUUAGAUGCUCCAGACUUGUACUUUGAGUUCUAUCCAGAGCUCUAUGGAGGCAGGAAAGGAUCCAUGGUGCCAUUUGGAUUUAGGCUGUUGGUUGGUGAACUCCCUCAACAUUUGGGGAAACACACUCAAGCCUUGGACCGCCUUAAUGCCUUGCUGAAAAACUGUAACCAAAUAAUUGAGAACCUAAACAGUGGUCUAAGUGAAGAUGGCAGCAACCUAGAGAUGACUCCUAACAUGCGGGAUGACUCACUCAAGCUGUGGAAAACACGAAGACAAAGAGUCAUAUACUCAAUCACAAAUUGUGCUGUCAGUUUAAAGGACUUUCGUUUGGCUGGAGGUCUUCUGGAGCGAUUGAUACAGGAAGACCCAAAUUCUGCUGCUGGACUAUACUCAGCCCUGGGGCGAUUGUGUUUACAACUUGGUGAUGUAGCUGCAGCUCAGUUUUGGUUACGUGUUACAUAAAUACCUGUAGAUAAAAACCUGGACACAGACAUGACACCUCUGUCCAGAAUAAAAGAGGACACCUUCAAUCAUUACCUAGAACACACUCCACCACCUCCCCACCACGACCCUGUUCAAGGCCUCCUGCAUUCUGCAUAUAUAUCUAUUGCACAGAACGCAUUUAAGGAUGCAGCUGAAAUAUUACAACAAGC
rnacentral:misc_RNA from 1 species